AAUUUUGGUCAAUGGUGGAAACCCUGAUCCAGCAAUCCCGCGUGUAUGAUGAAGGCCUCCGGGUUGUAAAGUACUUUUGGCAGAGAAGAAAAGGUAUCUGCUAAUACGGGAUACUGCUGACGGUUGCUGCAGAAUAAGCACGGGCUAACUACGCCCCAGCAGCCGGGGUAAUAGGUAGGGUGCAAGCGUUAAUCGGAAGUACUGGGCGUAAAGCGUGUGUAGGCGGUUCGGAAAGAAAGAUGGAAAAGACCAGGGCUCAACCUUGGAACUGCAUUUUUAACUGCCGGGCUAGAGUAUGUCAGAGGGGGGUAGGAUUCCACGUGUAGCAGUGAAAUGCGUAGAUAUGUGGAGGAAUACCGAUGGCGAAGGCAGCCCCCUGGGAUAAUACUGACGCUCAGAAACGAAAGCGUGGGGAGCAAACAGG
rnacentral:rRNA from 1 species